rnacentral:rRNA from 1 species
AUUGAACGCUGGCGGCAGGCCUAACACAUGCAAGUCGAACGAGUGGCGGACGGGUGAGUAAUGUCUGGGAAACUGCCUGAUGGAGGGGGAUAACUACUGGAAACGGUAGCUAAUACCGCAUACCAUCAGAUGUGCCCAGAUGGGAUUAGCUAGUCGGUGGGGUAAAGGCGCACCAAGGCAACGGUCCCUAGCUGGUCUGCGAGGAUGACCAGCCACAGUGGAACUGGGACACGGUCCAGACUCCUACGGAAGGCAGCAGUGGGGAAUAUUGCACAAGGGGCGCAAGCCUGAUGCAGCCAUGCCGCGUGUAUGAAGAAGGCCUUCGGGUUGUAAAGUACUUUCAGCGGGGAGGCGUUACCCGCAGAAGAAGCACCGGCUAACUCCGUGCCAGCAGCCGCGGUAAUAC